rnacentral:RNase_P_RNA from 1 species
GUCUGUUGACGGACGGCCGCUCCUUCGGGAGAGGAAAGUCUGGACACCAUAGAGCGGAAAGUCCAGUUGAAAGACUGGAGACUGCGGACGAUAUGCCGCAGCCAGGAUGAAAGUGCCACAGAAAACAAACCGCCGAAAGCAAUUUCGGCAAGGGUGAAAAGGUGAGGCAAGGGCUCACCGCGCCUUGAGCAAUCAUGGCGGCAGGGCAAACCCCUUUCGGUGCAAGACCAAAUAGGGAACAAUGAUGCUGCUCGCAUCGCACUGGAGACCAGUUGAAGUUCCGGGUAUCGGUCGCUUAGAUGAAUGGUCGUACAACUCGGGGAACAUCCGAGCGGACAGAAUCUGGCUUAUAGUCAUCAGACGCUU